CUGAGCUGCAGUUAUCCAGCACCUGCUUGUACCUUCUUCCAAUUGAGUCCUACUUCAUAUAGCACAACAAAGGUGGUUACCUCUCCAUAUUGAUCUGAGUCUGCUUUCACACUGGUUUAAAACCAAGGAAACACCAUUCAUUUCACUUGGACUUUACACAUGCGGAAAGGUGACAAGCCUUAACAGGACUCCACAUAAAAUGGUCGAG